rnacentral:rRNA from 1 species
GAUGAACGCUGGCGGCGUGCCUAAUACAUGCAAGUCGAGCGAACAGAUGAGGAGCUUGCUCCUCUGACGUUAGCGGCGGACGGGUGAGUAACACGUGGAUAACCUACCUAUAAGACUGGGAUAACUUCGGGAAACCGGAGCUAAUACCGGAUAACAUGUUGAACCGCAUGGUUCAACAGUGAAAGACGGUCUUGCUGUCACUUAUAGAUGGAUCCGCGCCGCAUUAGCUAGUUGGUAAGGUAACGGCUUACCAAGGCAACGAUGCGUAGCCGACCUGAGAGGGUGAUCGGCCACACUGGAACUGAGACACGGUCCAGACUCCUACGGGAGGCAGCAGUAGGGAAUCUUCCGCAAUGGGCGAAAGCCUGACGGAGCAACGCCGCGUGAGUGAUGAAGGUCUUCGGAUCGUAAAACUCUGUUAUUAGGGAAGAACAAAUGUGUAAGUAACUAUGCACGUCUUGACGGUACCUAAUCAGAAAGCCACGGCUAACUACGUG